CCUACGGGAGGCAGCAGUAAGGAAUAUUGGGCAAUGGAGGCAACUCUGACCCAGCCAUGCCGCGUGCAGGAUGAAGGCGUUAUGCGUUGUAAACUGCUUUUAUAUAGGAAGAAAGAGUUCUUGCGAGAACAGUUGACGGUACUAUAUGAAUAAGCACCGGCUAACUCCGUGCCAGCAGCCGCGGUAAUACGGAGGGUGCAAGCGUUGUCCGGAUUUAUUGGGUUUAAAGGGUGCGUAGGCGGUUUAUUAAGUCAGUGGUGAAAGACGGUCGCUCAACGAUUGCAGUGCCAUUGAUACUGGUAGACUUGAGUGAGAUUGAGGUAGCUGGAAUGGAUAGUGUAGCGGUGAAAUGCAUAGAUAUUAUCCAGAACACCAAUUGCGUAGGCAAGUUACUAAGUCUCAACUGACGCUGAGGCACGAAAGUGUGGGUAUCAAACAGGAUUAGAUACCCUGGUAGUCCGACACUGUAAACGAUGAUAACUAACUGUUGGCUUUCGGGUCAGUGGUACAGAGAAAUCGUUAAGUUAUCCACCUGGGGAGUACGCCGGCACGGUGAAACGUCAAGGAUUGACGGCUGAGACGNGCGAGGACGACGACGAGGGAGGAG
rnacentral:rRNA from 1 species